GAACUUCCGCGGUUUCCAGUGACGGUUGUGGCACGGCACAUGCUGAAAAGUUGCAGAUAAGAAACCUGAGAAGCCACAAGAAAGCCAAGUAGCCUAGGAAAAAGUGAGCAUUGAGCCACGAG